GUCCAGUGGUCAGGACAUCGUCUUUUCAUGUCGAAGACACGGGUUCGAUUCCCGU
rnacentral:tRNA from 1 species